rnacentral:tRNA from 1 species
GUUUAAGUAGUAUAUAUUUUACAUUAUCCUUUCUAGAUAAAAAUGUCUUUUGAUCUUAAAUA